rnacentral:rRNA from 2 species
UACAGAGGUCCCAAGCGUUGUUCGGAUUCACUGGGCGUAAAGGGUGCGUAGGUGGCAUGGUAAGUUUGAUGUGAAAUCUCCGGGCUUAACCCGGAAAUGGCAUUGAAUACUACUGUGCUGGAGGUUUGGAGGGGGGACUGGAAUUCUCGGUGUAGCAGUGAAAUGCGUAGAUAUCGAGAGGAACACCAGUGGCGAAGGCGAGUCCCUGGACAACACCUGACACUGAGGCACGAAAGCUAGGGGAGCAAACAGG